rnacentral:rRNA from 1 species
UUGUAUUGCACUUGGAGCAGGAACGAAACGGUGAGCUCUAACAUCGCUCGCUAAUGACGGUACCUGAAGAAGAAGCACCGGCUAACUACGUGCCAGCAGCCGCGGUAAUACGUAGGGUGCGAGCGUUAAUCGGAAUUACUGGGCGUAAAGCGUGCGCAGGCGGUUGUGUAAGACAGGUGUGAAAUCCCCGGGCUUAACCUGGGAACUGCGCUUGUGACUGCACGGCUAGAGUAUGGCAGAGGGGGGUGGAAUUCCACGUGUAGCAGUGAAAUGCGUAGAGAUGUGGAGGAACACCGAUGGCGAAGGCAGCCCCCUGGGCCAAUACUGACGCUCAUGCACGAAAGCGUGGGGAGCAAACAGGAUUAGAUACCCUGGUAGUCCACGCCCUAAACGAUGUCGACUAGGUGUUCGGUGAGGAGACUCAUUGAGUACCGCAGCUAACGCGUGAAGUCGACCGCCUGGGGAGUACGGUCGCAAGAUUAAAACUCAAAGGAAUUGACGG